rnacentral:rRNA from 1 species
GACGAACGCUGGCGGCGUGCCUAAUACAUGCAAGUCGAACGCAGUGGGGACGGGUGAGUAACACGUGGGUAACCUCCCAUCAGAGGGGAUAACACUUGGAAACAGGUGCUAAACCGAUAUUGGUGGAUGGACCCGCUGUGCAUUAGCUAGUGGGUGAGGUAACGGCUCACCAAGGCCACGAUGCAUAGCCGGCCUGAGAGGGUGAUCGGCCACACUGGGACUGAGACACGGCCCAGACUCCUACGGGAGGCAGCAGUAGGGAAUAUUGGGCAAUGGACGAAAGUCUGACCCAGCAAUGCCGCGUGAGUGAAGAAGGUUUUCGGAUCGUAAAGCUCUGUUGUUAGAGAAGCGUUAUCUAACCAGAAAGCAACGGCUAACUACGUGCCAGCAGCCGCGGUAAUUC